rnacentral:rRNA from 1 species
UGACAGUCGAGCGGACAGAUGGGAGCUUGCUCCCUGAUGUUAGCGGCGGACGGGUGAGUAACACGUGGGUAACCUGCCUGUAAGACUGGGAUAACUCCGGGAAACCGGGGCUAAUACCGGAUGCUUGUUUGAACCGCAUGGUUCAAACAUAAAAGGUGGCUUCGGCUACCACUUACAGAUGGACCCGCGGCGCAUUAGCUAGUUGGUGAGGUAAUGGCUCACCAAGGCAACGAUGCGUAGCCGACCUGAGAGGGUGAUCGGCCACACUGGGACUGAGACACGGCCCAGACUCCUACGGGAGGCAGCAGUAGGGAAUCUUCCGCAAUGGACGAAAGUCUGACGGAGCAACGCCGCGUGAGUGAUGAAGGUUUUCGGAUCGUAAAGCUCUGUUGUUAGGGAAGAACAAGUACCGUUCGAAUAGGGCGGUACCUUGACGGUACCUAA